rnacentral:rRNA from 1 species
AGAGUUUGAUCCUGGCUCAGGACGAACGCUGGCGGCGUGCCUAACACAUGCAAGUCGAACGUGAAAGGGGGCAACCCUGAGUAAAGUGGCGUACGGGUGAGUAACACGUAGGUAAUCUACCAAAGAGUCCGGAAUAACCUGCCGAAAGGCGGGCUAAUACUGGAUAGAGCGACGGAAUUCGUAAUUGGAUUUCUCGGGAA